rnacentral:rRNA from 1 species
AAAUCAUAAACACAUUUUUAACUUAUCAGGAGACCAGGUCAAUCCCGGGAAAAAAAGUCAUAAUCCGCGAGGCGUUCUGUCAUCUGGAAGGAGAGAUGGCUAAAAAGGGUAUGCGGGCUUGUUUCACGCAUCUGCUCCAGGAUGGGACUGCGUCCGAUCAGGCUGUUGGCGGGGUAAUGGCCCACCAAACCAGUAACCGGUACGGGCCUUGAGAGAGGUGGCCCGGAGAUGGACACUGAGAGAAGGGUCCAGGUCCUACGGGGCGCAGCAGGCGCGAAGCCUUCGCAAUGCGCGAAAGCGGGACGAGGAAAUGCGAGGGACUGCCGGUGAGGCGCCGAUGUCAGCUGUAAAUAGGCAGGCGAAUAACUGU